GCAACCCGCAUUGCAACCAUGUUUUUUCCCCAAAAUCUGAGCCUUUUAAACGUUGACAAGGGAAGCCACACCCACCAGAGAUGAAGCUUUGGAUGGCCAGGAUCUCAAGGAUCACUGUUGAAAUAGUUGUGUUUUUAAUAGAUAGUAUAAUAUAAUAUAAUAUAGUUUGGUCUGUUUUCAAGCUUGAUUUGUUUUCAUCUCUUCCUUUAGUUUGUGAUGUGUUGAUGGUUUUGAUGUUUUGUGGAUUUACGGGUUUUAUGUUGUUGGAUUUAGAUAACUGGGAGAGUGGUGGUGGUGACAAAUCUGUGUAGGGUUAUCAUUUUGGUUGUUGGCUAUGACGAGUUCUAAAUAUUUCUAGAAGAUUCAUGAGAAUGUUAUGGCAAGGAAGGUGGAUGAUACCUAGGCUGACUUCAUUGAUUUCUUUUCAUUUCUGAAUGAUAUAAGGAUUUCCUGUACCCGUUGUAACCAUGGCUAUACAACGGAUUCGCAUGGAUAAACGCAGCAACGAUUAAGGCGAUCGAAGGGUUUAGUUGUAUAAGGGAUCGUCAAUAGUGAAUGGUUGUUUUGGCUUACUAAAGGCGACUGAACUGGGUCAAACAAUAGCAGCAAAUCGGGUUCGUUAUCAUGGGGUAAGCCUACGGUAGCGCGCGGUGAAACAAAAACGGUUUUUAUGGGGUGGCGAACGACACAACGGUUCCAUUUCCAGUUAUAAUCUUCAUGCUUGCGCUAUAACUUGAAUGAUGCUUUCAUGCACAUAGCCACAUUAGUCCAAAAGGGUGUGAAACACCGCCCAACGGGCAUGAGUGGGGCUUGAAGGGCAGCCGUUUAGGGCAGUGGCGAAGCUUGAGAUUUCCGGUCGGGGGGUCACAAACGUAUAUACCAAAAUUUUCUAUAAAACCGGGGGUCAAAAACGUAUAUACCAAAAAAUUUCUAUACGAAAACUACAUACUCUCCACUAACGAGCGAAAAGCACAAAGCUCCGCACUUGGUUUAGGGCGGGUCACGAGCGUAGGAAUGGAGUAGUUAAAAGUGUCAUUAGGUAUUGCAAAUGUGCAGUUAUCAUUUGCUGAAAUUUUGUAGAUAACUUGAAUGAAUGUUUUCAACUGUACCAUAUGUUUUGUAAUAUGAGGAUUAUGCAAAGAUGCUGAUUGGUUGCCCCAGUGGAAAUUUCCCAGGCUUUCUUUUUGGGGGAUAUGUUUAUUA